rnacentral:rRNA from 1 species
UACGAAGGGGGCUAGCGUUGUUCGGAAUUACUGGGCGUAAAGCGCACGUAGGCGGCUUUGUAAGUUAGAGGUGAAAGCCCGGGGCUCAACUCCGGAACUGCCUUUAAAACUGCAUCGCUUGAAUCCAGGAGAGGUGAGUGGAAUUCCGAGUGUAGAGGUGAAAUUCGUAGAUAUUCGGAAGAACACCAGUGGCGAAGGCGGCUCACUGGACUGGUAUUGACGCUGAGGUGCGAAAGCGUGGGGAGCAAACAGG